AUUGAACGCUGGCGGCAUGCCUUACACAUGCAAGUCGAACGGUAACAGGUCUUCGGAUGCUGACGAAUGGCGAACGGGUGAGUAAUGCAUCGGAACGUGCCCAGUCGUGGGGGAUAACUGCUCGAAAGAGCAGCUAAUACCGCAUACGACCUGAGGGCGAAAGCGGGGGACCGUAAGGCCUCUCGCGAUUGGAGCGGACGAUGUCAGAUUAGCUAGUUGGUGGGGUAAAGGCCUACCAAGGCAACGAUCUGUAGUUGGUCUGAGAGGACGACCAGCCACACUGGGACUGAGACACGGCCCAGACUCCUACGGGAGGCAGCAGUGGGGAAUUUUGGGCAAUGGGCGCAAGCCUGAUCCAGCAAUGCCGCGUGCAGGAAGAAGGCCUUCGGGUUGUAAACUGCUUUUGUCAGGGAAGAAAUCCUCUGGGUUAAUACCUCGGGGGGAUGACGGUACCUGAAGAAUAAGCACCGGCUAACUACGUGCCAGCAGCCGCGGUAACAC
rnacentral:rRNA from 1 species